GACCUUCUGGCGUAACGGUCAGCGCGUUCCUGGGUAUGCCCAGGAAAGAACCCGGUUCGACUCCGGGGUUGGUCA